AUCCAAGGUGAUUCCGUCUACAUGGCGUCUGCUCAUGUCCCUCUUCAGGAAAUUAGUAACGUGGAAAAAAAUCUGACAUGUCUUAGGUUGUUGGAGGGAAGGGGAUGUUUGUUUCCUUUGCCUUCCUUUGGCUGCCUACACGU
ensembl:snoRNA